rnacentral:pre_miRNA from 1 species
AUACUACUUCCUCCGUUUCGAAUUACUUGUCGUAUGUAUGGAUGUAUCUAGAUGUAUUUUAGUUCUAGAUACAUUCAUUUGUGCGACGAGUAAUUUGAAACGGAGGGAGUACAAU